rnacentral:tRNA from 1 species
GCAGGGAUAGCUCAAUUGCGAGAGCAUCAGAUUGAAGAUCUGAAGGUCGUGUAUUCGUUCCACGUUCACGCG